GGAAUGUUAGCUGAGACACUCUCUCUGCCUAAACACACCAUGCUGCCAUUUUGACUCUAUUGCGGCUGAGUGCUGUUGGUAUGAAGACAUUCUGCAAGACUCCUGGUGGUACUGCCUUGGUGAGCUUGGGCAAGACAUAAGUGAAUUCCCUGGAUUACCAGGGAAUGGAGGACUUUUUCGUGAGAAGCUUGGGCCAGAGAGGAACUCCUCCCAUCCACCUGGUCUUGCAGCUGGACAGGAGCAGACACUGGGAACUCAGAGCUCUCAAGCAGCUGCCACAGGAAAAACAGAACAAGGGUGACCAUUACAGAAGAAGAAACAAAUUUAUGAUACUCCACAGCACCUGUGCAAGCUAUGCAGCCUAAAGGUAGCAACAGGGAGUGGACAUAACAGACAGAAAAGUCUGAUGAGGAAAUGGAGUGUGUUAAGGAACUUGCCCAAUGUCACAACACUGCUGGUAUAAGUGGAAGAGGAGGGUUCCAAGUUCAAAUCUUUAUGGUAGGCUCAAAGGUGACUACUUGCUAACCCUUCGCUCUAAUUAAAGAGUUUAUUGUAGUAUGAAGCCUCUCAUGCUUAUCUGCAUUUCAAUAAGUACUUCAUCAGCGUGCAAAUUCCAUGAGGGUAAGGGCUUGGUCUAUUUUGUUCAUAAUUGCAUCCCAGUGCUUAGAAGGUAGUAGAUGCUCCAUCACCAGGGCGGGCUUCACACAGGACCCCCACUCAAAGGUUACACACUUAGAUUUAAUGCUCUGCAGUCGCUGUCUUGAGAUUCUUAAUAAUGCUACCUUUGAAGUUGUGUUUAGUAGAUGAAGUCUGAUGGAGCAGUGGAGCACAGCUUGGCACUCGGAGCCUCCGCUCACGUGGGUUCCCCCCUCCCCUGCCACUUCACUCCCCACCCC